rnacentral:misc_RNA from 1 species
AACUGAUACUACCUGCGGGAACCUGCGGAAGGAUCAUAACUGGUUAAACUUUAUAAACACCAGAGUUUCAAACUCUGUGUUUGCAAACAAAAAACACCCUUCAAAACAGCUAUUCAGUGUCUGAAUUAACUAGUUUAAUAUAAAAACAACUUUUAACAACGGAUCUCU